rnacentral:tRNA from 1 species
UAUAUAGUGCCUGAUUUAAAAGGAUAGUUUUGAUAGAACUAAUAAUGUACUUUUUUGUACCUAUAUUA